CCAAACUUGGUCAUUUAGAGGAAGUAAAAGUCGUAACAAGGUUUCCGUAGGUGAACCUGCGGAAGGAUCAUUACAGAGUGACGAUCUUCGGAUCGAUUACCCGCCCUCAUGUCAUGUUUUUGGUGGGGUCAACGUGCCCCCCGAUUCUACUUCCCAGGAAGUGUCGCCGUCGUCCGUACGCUCGCGUGGGCGGAUGGAGGCGACCGCCUGGGGCCUUUUUUUAAGCAACUCUGUCGAGAUGAUGAAGUCUGAAUGUAAACAAUAACAAAAGCAAAACUUUCAACAACGGAUCUCUUGGCUCUGGCAUCGAUGAAGAACGCAGC
rnacentral:misc_RNA from 1 species